rnacentral:rRNA from 1 species
CCUACGGGGGACAGCAGUGGGGAAUAUUGGACAAUGGGGGGAACCCUGAUCCAGCGACGCCGCGUGAGUGAAGAAGUAUUUCGGUAUGUAAAGCUCUAUCAGCAGGGAAGAAAGAAAUGACGGUACCUGACUAAGAAGCCCCGGCUAACUACGUGCCAGCAGCCGCGGUAAUACGUAGGGGGCAAGCGUUAUCCGGAUUUACUGGGUGUAAAGGGAGCGUAGACGGCGAUGCAAGUCUGAGGUGAAAGGCGGGGGCCCAACCCCCGGACUGCUUUGGAAACUGUAUGGCUGGAGUGCAGGGGAGGUAAGUGGAAUUCCUAGUGUAGCGGUGAAAUGCGUAGAUAUUAGGAGGAACACCAGUGGCGAAGGCGGCUUACUGGACUGUAACUGACGUUGAGGCUCGAAAGCGUGGGGAGCAAACAGGAUUAGAUACCCUUGUAGUC